UACGUUUAUUUGUGCAUUCUUAUUAAUUAGUUGAUAACUUAUUUCUAACGAUUUACAUUAAUAAAUUGGCGACAAGCUAAUUUAUUUAUCACAUUUAGUGAUAAAUUUAUUUAUCAUUUAUUUAUCACAUUUAGUUAGUAAGCCAUUCUAUAAUGGACAAUGCAAAAAACAAAGCCGACAUUAAAAAAUUGUUAAAAAUUUAAGAAAUAAGUACAGUGAAACCCCGUUUAUCCGGCUCAAACGGGACAGGGUCCAAUCCGGAAAAUUCGUUAACGACAUAAAUAACAGUUUAGAUUUACUGUACAGUACAGUACUUGCACAUUAUAUAUACUUUUACAACAAUAUUAACAGUAUUGAGCAAAAGACAUCUACAUACAGUAUCAGUUCGUUGUUUUCUAUCAGCGGGUACAGUACGCGCACAUAAGUUUUCUGACUAUUUGUGUAAGGUAGAAUUUCUCUUUAUUGUCUUUUUCAAGAUCAAUCUGUAAUAUGGCUCAGUUCUUCGUAGGGAAACCAAAGGACUAAUUUGAACCGAAGCAAUUGUGAAAUACUAUAUUGUAUUUAUUUUUGUUACCAGAUCCUCGUUUAUAAAGUCGCAGUUGUUCAAAAUUGGCAUUGGGCCAAGGGAAAACAGUAUUACAGUUGCAACAUUAUACUCAGGCAAGAAUGUAGGCUAGUACUUACAAGGUGAUCGAUACUUCUGUUGGUAGAAAGCUUUUAGUGAAAAUAAUUAAUGACAAAAACAUAUGAAAAUUUGAUUAUAUGGGCGUAAAUAAUUUCCAAGAAUUAAGAGCACGUGUUACUUACUGUACAUGUAAUACCGGAAUCUGAAAAAAGAAAACUGCAAUGAACUGUACGUUAUCAAAUUAAUAACUCAAGUAAAACUAAAACUACAUAAAAGUUGAG